rnacentral:rRNA from 1 species
ACGGAGCAACGCCGCGUGAGUGAAGAAGGUUUUCGGAUCGUAAAAACUCUGUUGUCAGAGAAGAACAAGUUGGAGAGUAACUGCUCCAGCCUUGACGGUAUCUGACCAGAAAGCCACGGCUAACUACGUGCCAGCAGCCGCGGUAAUACGUAGGUGGCAAGCGUUGUCCGGAUUUAUUGGGCGUAAAGCGAGCGCAGGCGGUUCCUUAAGUCUGAUGUGAAAGCCCACGGCUCAACCGUGGAAGGUCAUUGGAAACUGGGGAACUUGAGUGCAGAAGAGGAGAGUGGAAUUCCAUGUGUAGCGGUGAAAUGCGUAGAUAUAUGGAGGAACACCAGUGGCGAAGGCGACUCUCUGGUCUGUAACUGACGCUGAGGCUCGAAAGCGUGGGGAGCAAACAGGAUUAGAUACCCUGGUAGUCCACGCCGUAAACGAUGAGUGCUAAGUGUUGGAGGGUUUCCACCCUUCAGUGCUGCAGCU